AGAACGAACGCUGGCGGCAUGCCUAAUACAUGCAAGUCGAACGAACACUUCGGUGUUAGUGGCGCACGGGUGCGUAACGCGUGGGAAUCUGCCCUUGGGUUCGGAAUAACAGUUGGAAACGACUGCUAAUACCGGAUGAUAUCGAAAGAUCAAAGAUUUAUCGCCCAGGGAUGAGCCCGCGUAGGAUUAGCUAGUUGGUGAGGUAAAGGCUCACCAAGGCGACGAUCCUUAGCUGGUCUGAGAGGAUGAUCAGCCACACUGGGACUGAGACACGGCCCAGACUCCUACGGGAGGCAGCAGUAGGGAAUAUUGGACAAUGGGCGCAAGCCUGAUCCAGCAAUGCCGCGUGAGUGAUGAAGGCCUUAGGGUUGUAAAGCUCUUUACCCGAGAUGAUAAUGACAGUAUCGGGAGAAUAAGCCCCGGCUAACUCCGCGCCAGCAGCCGC
rnacentral:rRNA from 1 species